rnacentral:rRNA from 1 species
UACGUAGGGUGCGAGCGUUGUCCGGAAUUAUUGGGCGUAAAGAGCUUGUAGGUGGUUUGUCGCGUCUGCUGUGAAAAUCCGAGGCUCAACCUCGGACUUGCAGUGGGUACGGGCAGACUAGAGUGUGGUAGGGGAGACUGGAAUUCCUGGUGUAGCGGUGGAAUGCGCAGAUAUCAGGAGGAACACCGAUGGCGAAGGCAGGUCUCCUGG